AUUGAACGCUGGCGGCAGGCCUAACACAUGCAAGUCGAGCGAGCGGCGGACGGGAGAGAAAUGCCGGGGAAUUGCCCAGGCGAGGGGGAUAAAAGUUGGAAACGACUGCUAAUACCGCAUAAGAGUGGAUUGCACAGGUGGGAUUAGCGAGUUGGUGAGGUAAUGGCUCACCAAGGCGACGAUCCCUAGCUGGUCUGAGAGGAUGAUCAGCCACACUGGAACUGAGACACGGUCCAGACUCCUACGGGAGGCAGCAGUGGGGAAUAUUGCACAAUGGGGGCAACCCUGAUGCAGCCAUGCCGCGUGUGUGAAGAAGGCCUUCGGGUUGUAAAGCACUUUCAGCGAGGAGGCGUUACUCGCAGAAGAAGCACCGGCUAACUCCGUGCCAGCAGCCGCGGUAAUUC
rnacentral:rRNA from 1 species